CAGUAGCCGCGGUAACACGUAGGGUGCGAGCGUUAAUCGGAAUUACUGGGCGUAAAGCGUGCGCAGGCGGUUAUAUAAGACAGAUGUGAAAUCCCCGGGCUCAACCUGGGACCUGCAUUUGUGACUGCAUGGCUAGAGUACGGUAGAGGGGGAUGGAAUUCCGCGUGUAGCAGUGAAAUGCGUAGAUAUGCGGAGGAACACCGAUGGCGAAGGCAAUCCCCUGGACCUGUACUGACGCUCAUGCACGAAAGCGUGGGGAGCAAACAGGAUUAGAGACCCCCGUAGUCCCUGUCUCUUAUAC
rnacentral:rRNA from 1 species